rnacentral:rRNA from 1 species
CUGGGAAACCGGCGACAAUACCGCAUAAGCUCGAGAGAGGAAAGCAGCAAUGCGCUGGAGGAGGAGUCCGCGGUCGAUUAGUUAGUUGGCGGGGUAAAGGCCCACCAAGACUGUGAUCGAUAGCCGGCCUGAGAGGGCACACGGCCACACUGGCACUGAAACACGGGCCAGACUCCUACGGGAGGCAGCAGUGGGGAAUCUUGCACAAUGGGGGAAACCCUGAUGCAGCGACGCCCGUGAGCGAUGAAGCCCCUCGGGGUGUAAAGCUCUUUCGGCAGGGAAGAUUAUGACGGUACCUGCAAAAGCAGCUGCGGCUAACUACGUGCCAGCAGCCGCGGUAAUACGUAGGCAGCAAGCGUUGUUCGGAGUUACUGGGCGUAAAGGGUGCGUAGGCGGCUUUUUAAGUUUGGUGUGAAAUCUCCCGGCUCAACUGGGAGGGUGCGCCGAAUACUGAGAGGCUAGAGUGUGGGAGAGGAAAGUGGAAUUCCUGGUGUAGCGGUGAAAUGCGUAGAUAUCAGGAGGAACACCGGUGGUGUAAACGGCUUUCUGGACCAUAACUGACGCUGAGGCACGAAAGCGUGGGUAGCAAACAGGAUUAGAUACCCUGGUAGUCCACGCCCUAAACGAUGCAUAUUUGGUGUGGGCCAUUCAUUUGGUCCGUGCCGGAGCUAACGCGUUAAAUAUGCCGCCUGGGGAGUACAGUCGCAAGGCUGAAACUCAAAGGAAUUGACGGGGGCCCGCACAAGCGGUGGAGCAUGUGGUUUAAUUCGACGCAACGCGAAGAACCUUACCUGGGCUCGAAAUGCUAUGGACCAGCUGGUGAAAGCCGGCCUUCCCGCAAGGGACUGUAGUAUAGGUGCUGCAUGGCUGUCGUCAGCUCGUGUCGUGAGAUGUUGGGUUAAGUCCCGCAACGAGCGCAACCCUUGUCCUGUGUUGCCAUCAUUCAGUUGGGAGCUCGCAGGAGACCGCCAGGGAUAACCUGGAGGAAGGUGGGGAUGACGUCAAGUCCUCAUGGCCUUUAUGUCCAGGGCUAUACACGUACUACAAUGGACGGUACAAAGGGCUGCCAACCCGCAAGGGGGAGCCAAUCCCAAAAAACCGUUCUCAGUUCGGAUUGCAGGCUGCAACUCGCCUGCAUGAAGCUGGAAUCGCUAGUAAUGGUGGAUCAGAACGCCACCGUGAAUACGUUCCCGGGCCUUGUACACACCGCCCGUCACAUCACGAAAGUGGGUUGUACUAGAAGUCCGCGCGCCGACCCGCAAGGGGG